GGUAAGACGAGGGAUCCUAGCGUUGUUCGGAAUUAUUGGGCGUAAAGCGGGUGCAGGUGGCUAUGUAAGUCAGGUGUGAAAGCCUAGGGCUCAACCCUAGAAGUGCAUUUGAUACUGCGUAGCUUGAGUGCUAGAGAAGAUAGUAGAAUUCCUGGUGUAGUGGUGAAAUACGUAGAUAUCAGGAGGAAUACCGGCGGCGAAGGCGGCUAUCUGGCUAGACACUGACACUCAGACCCGAAAGCGU
rnacentral:rRNA from 1 species